CUGUGGAAUAAGCUGGCGCUAUAUAAAUACCAAUAAUAAUUAUAAAAUAAUAAUACAGUAGGUAUUAAUAUAAUGGCAUUGGUUUAAAUACUGGUUCUUGCUUACAAAGCUAUUUGCAACUGUUCUUAAAACUACACAUCAUCUCUAAUAAUUAACUAGACAUUUAUUCUACCUGUGACUUUCAUCCUUUGUUCCAAAUUCCCCUCUUGCAGAACUUUUCUAGAACUGCUUCAUG